rnacentral:rRNA from 1 species
UCUCCGUUGGUGAACCAGCGGAGGGAUCAUUACCGAGUUUACAACUCCCAAACCCAAUGUGAACGUUACCAAACCGUUGCCUCGGCGGGAUCUUCUGCCCCGGGUGCGUCGCAGCCCCGGACCAAGGCGCCCGCCGGAGGAAUCAACCAAAACUCUUAUUGUAUACCCCCUCGCGGGUUUUUUUAUAAUCUGAGCCAUCUCGGCGCCUCUCGUAGGCGUUUCGAAAAUGAAUCAAAACUUUCAACAACGGAUCUCUUGGUUCUGGCAUCGAUGAAGAACGCAGCGAAAUGCGAUAAGUAAUGUGAAUUGCAGAAUUCAGUGAAUCAUCGAAUCUUUGAACGCACAUUGCGCCCGCCAGUAUUCUGGCGGGCAUGCCUGUCCGAGCGUCAUUUCAACCCUCGAACCCCUCCGGGGGGUCGGCGUUGGGGAUCGGCCCUUUACGGGGCCGGCCCCGAAAUACAGUGGCGGUCUCGCCGCAGCCUCUCCUGCGCAGUAGUUUGCACACUCGCAUCGGGAGCGCGGCGCGUCCAUUGCCGUAAAACACCCAACUUUCUGAAAUGUUGACCUCGGAUCAGGUAGGAAUACCCGCUGAACUUAAGCAUAUCAAUAAGCGG